AACGGGUGAGUAACACGUGGGCAACCUGCCCCAGGCUCUGGAAUAACCUCGGGAAACUGAGAUUAAUGCCGGAUACUCUCGUCGGGUCACAUGGCCUGGCGAGGAAAGAAUUUCGGCCUGGGAUGGGCCCGCGGCCUAUCAGCUUGUUGGCGGGGUAACGGCCCACCAAGGCGACGACGGGUAGCUGGCGUGAGAGCGUGGCCAGCCACACUGGGACUGAGACACGGCCCAGACUCCUGCGGGAGGCAGCAGUGGGGAAUCUUGCGCAAUGGGCGAAAGCCUGACGCAGCGACGCCGCGUGGGGGAUGAAGGCCCUCGGGUUGUAAACCCCUUUCGGCAGGGAAGAAGCCGCAAGGUGACGGUACCUGCAGAAGAAGCCCCGGCUAACUACGUGCCAGCAGCCGCGGUAAGACGUAGGGGGCGAGCGUUGUCCGGAUUUAUUGGGCGUAAAGCGCGCGUAGGCGGUUCGUUAAGUCGGGUGUGAAAACCCGGGGCUCAACCCCGGGCCUGCAUCCGAUACUGGCGGACUCGAGGCAGACAGGGGAGAGUGGAAUUCCCGGUGUAGCGGUGAAAUGCGCAGAUAUCGGGAGGAACACCGGUGGCGAAGGCGGCUCUCUGGGUCUGUCCUGACGCUCAGGCGCGAAAGCUAGGGGAGCAAACAGGAUUAGAUACCCUGGUAGUCCUAGCCGUAAACGUUGGGUGCUAGGUGUGGGGCGGCGUUCGACCCGCUCCGUGCCGAAGCUAACGCAUUAAGCACGCCGCCUGGGGAGUACGGCCGCAAGGCUAAAACGUCAAAGGAAUUGACGGGGGCCCGCACAAGCCGGCGGAGCAUGUGGCUUAAUUCGACGCGACGCGAAGAACCUUACCAGGGCUUGACAUGCGGGGUGAAGCCGUGGAAACACGGUCCUCCUACGGGAGCCCGCACAGGUGCUGCAUGGCUGUCGUCAGCUCGUGCCGUGAGGUGUUGCCUUAAGUGGCGCAACGAGCGCAACCCCUGUCCAUAGUUGCCAGCGGGUAAUGCCGGGGACUCUAUGGAGACUGCCGGUGCCAAACCGGAGGAAGGUGGGGAUGACGUCAAGUCAUCAUGGCCCUUAUGUCCUGGGCUGCACACAUGCUACAAUGCGUGGUACAACGGGCUGCGAUCCCGUAAGGGUGAGCGAAUCCCAAGAAGCCGCGCUCAGUUCGGAUCGGGGUCUGCAACUCGACCUCGUGAAGUCGGAGUCGCUAGUAAUCGCGGAUCAGCAACGCCGCGGUGAUACGUUCCCGGGCAUUGCACACA
rnacentral:rRNA from 1 species